UAUGGCUUUCGACGGGGGUAAGUUACAUCUGGGAAGCGAGCCGAGGGAAUUCUGGUCCCGCGUAAAAAACUAGAAAUUAAAGAUAAACGCAGAAAACAAUUUUGCAUUAGCAGCUUAGUAGCUGCUCGUCCUACCCUUGAGUCCCACGGCUUGGACUAGGGCGUCAUUUAGUGGGGAACCGAGUCUAACAAAGCUUUGAGUUAGAAACGGAAUUUAUGAAGCUACUAAAUCUAGAAUCCUGUUAGUAGGAGUCUAGAGGAGGGAAUGUUAAAAUGCUAACUGCGCUCGGAGAUGCCUAGGUGGGGCUAUUUUCGGACAGGGGUUCGAUUCA
rnacentral:tmRNA from 1 species